AGGGUUCGAUUAUGGCUCAGGACGAACGCUGGCGGCGUGCCUAACACAUGCAAGUCGAACGGAGUUAAUAGGAAAGAUUCCUUCGGGGAUACGGAAUAUUAACUUAGUGGCGGACGGGUGAGUAACGCGUGAGCAACCUGCCUUUCAGAGGGGGAUAACGUCUGGAAACGGACGCUAAUACCGCAUAACAUAAAUUUGCCGCAUGGCAGAGAUAUCAAAGGAGCAAUCCGCUGAAAGAUGGGCUCGCGUCCGAUUAGAUAGUUGGCGGGGUAACGGCCCACCAAGUCGACGAUCGGUAGCCGGACUGAGAGGUUGAACGGCCACAUUGGGACUGAGACACGGCCCAG
rnacentral:rRNA from 1 species